AAAGGUGUAGCUCAGUGGUAGAAUGUUAGCUUAGUAUGCACAAGGUCCUGGGUUCAAUCCCCAGCACUUCUG
rnacentral:tRNA from 1 species